UAUGCGGGACAGAGGAACAGAAGCAGAAGUAUUUACCUUCUUUGGUUUGGCCCAGUUAAAAACUGUAGCUUGUUGGGCUUUGACUGAGCCUGACUAUGGAAGUGAUGCGAGUUCUCUGAAGACAACUACAACAAAGGUCGAAGGAGGUUGGAUACUCGAGGGACAAAAACGCUGGAUAGGAAACAACACUUUUGUAGAUGUAUUGGUUAUCUUU